ACAUGCUGCGGCGCUACACGCACAAAGUUUUUGUGGACUACGACGAGGUGCCGCCGUACGACGAGUUCGACCCGCGGCCGUUCCCGUCCUGGCCGGCGAUGUCGAUCGGCGUCAAGCUGCGCGUGGUGAGCGCCGUGCAGGACGACGAGGACGAGGCCAUGGCGAGGGCGGGCGGCGUCGCCGUCGACCCCCCGGUCGAGCGCUCCUUCCGCCUGCCCUGCGUCGACCUCGCCCCCGACUCCGGCUCCCUCCAGUGGAAGGCGGUCGAGGCCGCGGCGCGCAGCUUCGCGUCCGACGUCGUGCUCGCCACCGCGCCCGCGCGGGCCUCCGUCGCGGCGGAGUUCGCGUCGCUCUCCACCUUGCUGGUGUACGACGGCCGCUUCGUGCGCUGCUCCGUGCUGCCGGUGAUCUUCGAGAUCGCCGUCGUCUCCGUCUUCCCCGCCUGGAGGCCGCCGCCGGCCGAACCCAUGCCCGCCCUCGAGUCGGCGAUCGAUGGGCUGACGGAUCCCUCGCAGCCCCCGCCGGUCCUCGCCGAGGGGGACGACGUCUGUGUGGUCUGCUUCGCGGAGCUCACCGCCGAGCCGGCCACCCGCCUGCCCUGCAGCCACGUCUUCCACCGGCGGUGCAUCGCCCGGUGGCUGCGCAGCAGCUGCGCCUGCCCCCUCUGCCGCUUCGCCAUGCCCCAUUGAUUGCAGAGUAAUUUAUUUUAUUUAUUCUUUUUACAACGUAUUUUUGGUUGAUAUAUUUUUUUUUAGAUUUUGACUAGUUUGGAAUCUACUCUGUAGCAUUAUUAUUGUAGAGUAAACAUAGUGUAAUACAACACACAAUUGAAUUGAAGCGCUUCGAUGUUACUCCAAUAAGCAGUUACAGCGAUACAAUCAAUCUUAGUGAUCUUAGUGAUCCUAGUGAUCCGUAGUUUCGGACAUGAUCUAUUGCAUGCAUGCAUGCAAUGAGAUAGGUCUUCUGGGUCUAUAAAAAACGAGAGAAGGGUUAAAGCAACUGCGUGUAGAAGAUGUUUCAGGCGUAAUUCUUCUCUUGAUUAGUGAAUUUUAUUUCACCUUUGUAUUUUUGCUUCUUUCGCCUUAGAGAGAUGAAUUUGUGGUGAAAAUUCGAUUUGAUGCUUUCGUUGCGAAAUACAAACAAUCGAUACCAAGUCUUCUUUUGAUUAGUGAUUUUUAUUUCAUCCGUAUUUUUUGGUUUUUCCCUCUCCUUUUGUAUUAGAACGAGGGAUUUACGAUAAAAAUUCGAUUUGAUGCUUUCGUUGCGGAAUUCUAACAAUUACUAUUUCUCAAAAUCUGGCACCGAAGCCAAAACCAGAUUAAUGUAGACAUGCACCAAUUUUUUUACGAAGCAACAUAAAUAUCCUCAUACUAUAAAAUUACAGAGCAUCGGAGGACUCGUGUUGCUCAUAAUGUGUAUGUAGCACAUAUUUUGUUGCUUCACUUGGAGGGAUUAUCUACGUUUCGUUGUUCGUCUCUUGCUGUUAUAAGAUGCAUUUAUAGGUUGCAAUCCAUGCGUACACCAAUGUUUUGAAACUUAAACGCAACCCGGAAAAUUCAUUACCCUGCAAUUCAAGUAGUGUAACUCUAGUUUACGUCUUGGAAUCCUGGAAAUCUUGUGCAAACAAUUAUUGUUAUCCUCAAAUGUAAUUUUUUCUGCCUUGCAGCAAUAUUGUCUCUAUUACAUGAGCGCCGAUUACUUGGCAUUGUAGAAUUUAUAUUACGACUUUCUUGACGAAUCAUCGGUGCAGGCUCGAUAGAUCUUUCAUCGGUUUCAUUGAGAUUUUAAGCUCGAUUUAUGGUUUUUUUAGAAGUAAUUACUAAAGAGCAAGUAUUGGAAUGAAUAAGUUGUUUGCUCCCACCAGCGUGUUAUGGGUACUCCCAGAACCUAAUUAACUUUUGAUUCUUGCUUAUUAAAUCAUAUAUUCUUCUGAUCUGUUAUAUCAACAUUGGAUCUUUCUCUCAUUUUAAUUUGGUAGCAAAACUGAGGUGCAAAUUAUCAGGUUGCAUCUAGGCUCUGUACUCUGUUAUAUGAAGUUAAUAUUUUGGAUCUUUCUCUGAUAUAUAAUUAUCUUACACUAAUAUUAAUAUGAACAGUUUAUUAACUAUGGAAUACAUGCAGAAAUUACCAUAACACAAAAUAGAAAAUUUUAUGUGACCAGAAACUUUCAUAUAAAGAAAUUUAACAGCUUCUUCUGUUUAAAUGCAUUUCUGUAAGCAGUCGGUCUUUUCAGUUACGAUUUUCAAAUAUCUAGAAGGUCAAAGCUUUGCGUGGAUUAUGUCUAACUGUUAAUAUUGGAAUCGUUAUUGCUUUCUUUCCCCUAUCGGAGGAGGUCUUCUUCUUAGAUUCCUGCGAAGAUUUGAACCUUGUACUCCGGUGCUUCUUGUCGGACUAACUGUUGCUGCUCUCUUUUCUUGUAAGAGGAGAGAACCCUCUCCAACAGUAACCUUAUUUUACUCUGGCCAUAAAAUUUCUUCCAACAAUAAGGUAUUUUUUCGCGGAAGCAAUAGUUUCUUCACGUCUAAUUUAUAUGUAACCACCAAUAUUAUGAUGAAAUUUGUUAAGAUUAGCGUACCAUCAAACAAACUCUGUUGGUUCUCUCACAGCUAAAGUUGUGGCUAAAAUAAUAUUUGGUUGCUUUUCUUUAGACCAUAGACUAUAGAAUUUCGAAUUAAACCGUCUAUAUAAAGGAUAAUAUUUUUACCAAUUGUGUUAGAAUCUGUAUCAAAUGCCACUGGAUAAAUAAACAAUAUAUGCCUUUCUUUUUUCCUGCUGCUUUUUCCUUUUUCCUUUUACUUGUAUUUGCACCACCUUUCCGAGUGAAAAGCUCUUUCCAUUUGCACUCCUUCGUGCCUUUGCAUACUUGCAUUUUCUAAUCCUCUUAGCAUGACACUUGCUCUCAAUUUUGUUUUUUCUUUUCAAAAAAGAAGAAGAAGAAGAGAGCAGUAAAUAUGAAAGAAGCAUGAUACAGAGUUGCAGAGGACAUCAACACUUUUGUCCCCAGAUCGAAAUUUGUUUUAAGCUGGGUUGAAUUAGUUAAGGAAAUGUUCUGAUACAUUAGCAGAAAAAAAAAAAAGAAAAA